rnacentral:lncRNA from 1 species
CGUAAUUAAAAGUAGUAGAUACGAAUUGAAUUGUUGGACAAAGACUUAGCAGUAUACCUAAAAUAAAGAACCAAGUCUAUCCCAAGAUCAGUAGUGGAAACAUAAACUCAUGCCAUGCAUUUUUCUCUGAGGAGAAUAUCUCUGUCUCAAGAAACAUCGCAACGAAGUGCUCUUUCCUCCAAAAGUUUGAACAACAAAAUACAAAUGAAAGGAGAGAUCCCAAAGAUGCGAAAUGAAAUAUCACAGCAUAUGAGAAUUCACAAUCAAGAGGCUUUUGUUUAUUUAGACUUUCACCCUUUUCAGCAACUCCCCGGAGUAUUAAAUACUUCCAAGAUUUCAAUGAAUCAAAUCUUUAUAUCUACCCUGGACAAACAGCUUUUCCUUUUCCAAUUGAAUAAUUGGUAAGUCCAUGGCUUCUUCACCUGCUCAUACUGCAUGUAUCACUUUUCUAAAACUUCUCAUGAGAGGAACAGAACAGAUUUGACAGGUACAAUUGAUGUGCCCAAGACAUAAUAACACCUAAAAUAGAAACAGGAAAUGCAAAACAUAUCAGGGACUAUCGUUCAGUUCACGAGGAAGCCAUAAGAAUUAGUAAAGUAAACCUGCUUCAGAAAGCAAAAUUCAACAGCACAUUGUAUUACACGAAUCAGUUAAAAUCUCGACUUCACAGACAAAUAGGAAUUGCUGGUUUCUCUACGAAAAGGAACUGCAGUUUCCCAUGUACCGGCAGUAUAUCAAAAAAGUAGAGAAUCUAAAACAUAGAUUCUCUAGGAACAACAUCAACCUUGUGUGCACACUCGAAUCUCAUAGCGAGCACCAAUGUACAUGGUCAUUAUCUAUUGAAAAAUUCUGAUCAAAUAUCUGCAUCCAGAUGAUAUGACGACUUUGAGCCCAGUAUAUAAGCAACGGGACCAAGUAAAGAAAUUAAAGGAAAAUAACGCCACUGGACGAGAUGAAUCAGAAAUUAUUUCAAUCCAAAUUGGAAAGUGCAUUAGAUAGAAAGAACACUGGCAUGAUAGAACAUCGGAAGAUUAAAUCAGAAUAUAAAGCAAUCAAAUAGAAGAUAGCCACAACCGUAAAACAUUAUUUUAACGCAAAGGGACUGGACAGUAUAAGGUCACAUGAAUUAUAAGAUUUUAGAAGAACAAUAGAACAGAGUGAUUCAAAAUUUUAAAGGUACUAAGAUUCUAGAUUUUACAACAUUUUAACAGUAGAAAUAACACUUGGGCAGAGGCUUGAUAAAUUAACAGAACAGGUUCUUGAAAUCCAAGUGGUAUUCUAAAGUCUAGUGUUUUCUUUUUAAUAAAUUCAGGGUAUUUUCCAUAAGCGCAGAGUCACAACAGAGGUCUUUCUUUUCUCUGUUUUUACUUAACCAACAAAUGCAAACAGAAAAUAAACAAAAAACUUUUUAGAGCAGCAAUCCAUCGAAUACCAGGCGAAGCAACAUCAUAUAAUGCAGAAGAAGAAUUUUGUAAGCGAGGUGUUACAUAGACAUUGUCAUCCAUGCUUUUCUCUGUAGUGUGAGUAAUGCACUUUUAGUUGCCUACUGUUUGCUUCCAGUGUGACUUAUUAGAAGCAUUUGCGCACCCAUUAAGUGUCUUAUGCAUGCACCAGGUUGCUGACCAUCCAUCCAUUUUCAGUGCAUUCAAAUUUCAUACUAUAAAGUUUCAAUUGGCCCAUUUACACCCCUGCAAGACAGCUCAAGACUCUUAAUCCUCAUUAUGCUAAUCAGAAGAUAUAGCAAACUUUCAAAUAACCUAGUUCUAGCUUAAAUCUAGCCAACAUCAACUGACAGCUACAAAAUCCACAAGUUAUAGGAGCAGUUUCUACUUUGUCAAGAAAAGAAAAGAUCUACUUAUAGGAGCUUAUAACAGCUACAGAUCAACAAACUAUAGCAGCAGUAAUUACUUUUAGAAGAAGCUAUCGGAGCAUAAAGGUGCAACGGCAUAGUUUCUAGGCUUUCCUUCCAAAGUUAGGAAGAUUCCAGGGUUUCAAACCACUAUUAUUAUUCUUAUCCCUUAUAACAAAAGUUCAUUAUAAGUAGUUAGUCUUCCUCUACAUGGAACAAAAAGGAUCAUUUCUAUCCACCCGUUGUAGACGAGAGUGUGGUACAAAAGGAUCAUUUCUAUCCACUUCCAUUCUCACGAAGCUUUACGUGAACGGUACAAUUAUUAAUCUGUAUUGCUUUAAAUAAAUAAAACAGUAAUCUUUCUGAAAACACAAUCAGAAAGUUAGUAGAAAUAAAUUCUGAAAAUAGUAUUUGAACUUCAAAAUAAAUUUUGAAACGUUAUAGGAACAACUCGAGCCCACUGAAUACACAGUGUGUCCUUAAAUAGUUUUAUUCCCUCAAGUACCCGAGGUUCCGGAAUAUAUCCUCCCAUGAUAGAACGAUUUAACUCACCGGAGUGUUUGGUACCAAAAAUGCCGAUGAAUAGCGAAUCACUAGGCUGCAAACACACUGGAAUUUCUGUGCAGAAGAAGAGGAUUAUCAGAAAAUUUCGUGAGUAAAUAUUCUGGGAUUUGAAGGUAUAUUUAUAACCAAUUUGGUACUGUUUCUGAAAAGGUUUGCAAUCUUACAGAACAACCAUAGCUGUUGAAAAUAUUGCGGGAAAUGUAAAAUGAAUUUAAAAUAAUCCGGGAAAGAAAAACGGGCCCGACGCGGGUCAUGGGUUAUUCCGGAUUGAAUUUUCUUUAAUUAAUUAAAUAUUUGAAAAAAAAAUUGUCCAAAAAGAUUUAAUCAAUCAAAGACCGAAUCCGAAUCUGAAUAAAGGCGAAGCCGAGCCAAGCGAGCGAUGACGGCGGCGGCGCGAGGCUUGCCUCCUUCUUAGCUCUUUAAGAGUUAAAAGAUGAGCUUCUCUAUAUAUACACAAAGAUUUUCUUUCCUUCUAUCAAUGAGGGACAAAGUGCAUUAGUCAAGUGAACUCAUUCAAAAUUUCACUUCCCUCUAUUUCUUUUCUCACCAUUUUCCAUUCACACUUCUUUUGUUAUUAAACAACAAAAUCCAUCAGGUACCACUCAUACCGCACAACCAGCAAGUAGUUUGCCUUCCAUGACCUGCAAUGGCAAAAAUGGAUAAUCGACAUCACAUACAGGCAUUACAAAAUGAAAAAAGGCCAAUGAAAAUAUGCACCACUCACUAAAGAUCACGAAAGAGCCAAGGCUUUACCAUUUACUCCAUACACUAAAGAUGUGAAGAGAUUCAUGUUCUCCCGUCAAUUUCACAAAUAUAUGUGAGUACCUCACCGUGUUCUGCUCAUAG